rnacentral:rRNA from 1 species
CACGGAGUUAGCCGAUGCUUUUUCUUCAGGUACUCGCAAAACGCCACACGUGGCGCCCUUUGCUCCCUGACAAAAGAGGUUUACAAUCCAUAGGACCGUCAUCCCUCACGCGACUUGGCUGGUUCAGCCCUGCGGCCAUUGACCAAUAUUCCUCACUGCUGCCUCCCGUAGGAGUCUGGUCCGUGUCUCAGUACCAGUGUGGGGGACCUUCCUCUCAGAACCCCUACGCAUCGUCGCCUUGGUGGGCCGUUACCCGCCAACAAGCUAAUGCGACGCAUGACCAUCCGUAGCCGGAAUCGCUUCCUUUAAACCCACGGAGAUGCCUCCAUGGGUUGUUACGCGGUAUUAGACGGAAUUUCUUCCGCUUAUCCCCCUGCUACGGGCAGGUUUCAUACGUGUUACUCACCCGUGCGCCGGUCGCCGGCGGGAGUAUUGCUACUCCCCGCUGCCCCUCGACUUGCAUGUGUUAAGCCUGUCGCUAGCGUUCAUCCUGAGCCAGGAUCAAACUCU